UACGGAGGGUGCGAGCGUUAAUCGGAAUUACUGGGCGUAAAGCGCGCGUAGGCGGUCAGGCAAGUCGGGUGUGAAAGCCCUGGGCUCAACCUGGGAAUUGCAUUCGAAACUAUCUGACUCGAGUAUGGGAGAGGGAAGCGGAAUUUCCGGUGUAGCGGUGAAAUGCGUAGAUAUCGGAAGGAACACCAGUGGCGAAGGCGGCUUCCUGGACGGUCACUGACGCUGAGACGCGAAAGCGUGGGUAGCAAACAGG
rnacentral:rRNA from 1 species